rnacentral:misc_RNA from 1 species
AGCAGCCGCGGUAAUUCCAGCUCCAAUAGCGUAUAUUAAAGUUGUUGCAGUUAAAAAGCUCGUAGUUGAAUUUCGGGGUUAGUAGUUUGGUCGUGCCAAUGGUAUGUACUGGGCUCACUGAUUCCUCCUUCCUGAUGAAUUGUAAUGCCAUUAAUUUGGUGUUGCAGGGAAACAGGACUGUUACUUUGAAAAAUUAGAGUGUUUAAAGCAAGCUAACGCUUGAAUACAUUAGCAUGGAAUAAUGAAAUAGGACGUUCGAUCCUAUUUUGUUGGUUUCUAGGAUUGACGUAAUGAUUAAUAGGGAUAGUUGGGGGCAUUAGUAUUCAAUUGUCAGAGGUGAAAUUCUUGGAUUUAUUGAAGACUAACUACUGCGAAAGCAUUUGCCAAGGAUGUUUUCAUUAAUCAAGAACGAAAGUUAGGGGAUCGAAGACGAUCAGAUACCGUCGUAGUCUUAACCNUAAACUAUGCCGACUAGGGAUCGGAUGAUGUUAAUUUUUAAUGACUCAUUCGGCGCCUUAAC